UACGGAGGGUGCAAGCGUUAAUCGGAAUUACUGGGCGUAAAGCGUGCGCAGGCGGUUUGUUAAGUCUGCUGUGAAAUCCCCGAGCUCAACUUGGGAAUUGCAGUGGAUACUGGCAGGCUGGAGUAUGGUAGAGGAAGGUGGAAUUCCCGGUGUAGCAGUGAAAUGCGUAGAGAUCGGGAGGAACACCGGUGGCGAAGGCGGGUCUCUGGGCCGAUACUGACGCUGAGGUGCGAAAGCGUGGGGAGCAAACAGG
rnacentral:rRNA from 1 species